rnacentral:rRNA from 1 species
CCACGCCGUAAACGAUGGAUGCUAGAUGUCGGGGAGUUAUCCUCGGUGUCGCAGUUAACGCGUUAAGCAUCCCGCCUGGGGAGUACGGUCGCAAGGCUGAAACUCAAAGAAAUUGACGGGGGCCCGCACAAGCGGUGGAGUAUGUGGUUUAAUUCGAUGCAACGCGAAGAACCUUACCUGGGUUUGACAUCCGGGGAAUCUUUCAGAGAUGAGAGAGUGCCCUUCGGGGAGCCCCGAGACAGGUGCUGCAUGGCUGU